AACGCUUGCUACAGGCUUAACACAUGCAAGUCGAGGGGCGUCAGGAAGAAAGCUUGCUUUCUUUGCUGGCGACCGGCGCACGGGUGAGUAACACGUAUCCAACCUGCCCUUUACUCGGGGAUAGCCUUUCGAAAGAAAGAUUAAUACCCGAUAGCAUAAUGAUUCCGCAUGGUUUCAUUAUUAAAGGAUUCCGGUAAAGGAUGGGGAUGCGUUCCAUUAGGUUGUUGGUGAGGUAACGGCCCACCAAGCCUUCGAUGGAUAGGGGUUCUGAGAGGAAGGUCCCCCACAUUGGAACUGAGACACGGUCCAAACUCCUACGGGAGGCAGCAGUGAGGAAUAUUGGUCAAUGGGCGCUAGCCUGAACCAGCCAAGUAGCGUGAAGGAUGAAGGCUCUAUGGGUCGUAAACUUCUUUUAUAUAAGAAUAAAGUGCAGUAUGUAUACUGUUUUGUAUGUAUUAUAUGAAUAAGGAUCGGCUAACUCCGUGCCAGCAGCCGCGGUAAUACGGGGGAUCCGAGCGUUAUCCGGAUUUAUUGGGUUUAAAGGGAGCGUAGGUGGACUGGUAAGUCAGUUGUGAAAGUUUGCGGCUCAACCGUAAAAUUGCAGUUGAUACUGUCAGUCUUGAGUACAGUAGAGGUGGGCGGAAUUCGUGGUGUAGCGGUGAAAUGCUUAGAUAUCACGAAGAACUCCGAUUGCGAAGGCAGCUCACUGGACUGCAACUGACACUGAUGCUCGAAAGUGUGGGUAUCAAACAGGAUUAGAUACCCUGGUAGUCCACACAGUAAACGAUGAAUACUCGCUGUUUGCGAUAUACAGUAAGCGGCCAAGCGAAAGCAUUAAGUAUUCCACCUGGGGAGUACGCCGGCAACGGUGAAACUCAAAGGAAUUGACGGGGGCCCGCACAAGCGGAGGAACAUGUGGUUUAAUUCGAUGAUACGCGAGGAACCUUACCCGGGCUUAAAUUGCAGUGGAAUGAUGUGGAAACAUGUCAGUGAGCAAUCACCGCUGUGAAGGUGCUGCAUGGUUGUCGUCAGCUCGUGCCGUGAGGUGUCGGCUUAAGUGCCAUAACGAGCGCAACCCUUAUCUUUAGUUACUAACAGGUUAUGCUGAGGACUCUAGAGAGACUGCCGUCGUAAGAUGUGAGGAAGGUGGGGAUGACGUCAAAUCAGCACGGCCCUUACGUCCGGGGCUACACACGUGUUACAAUGGGGGGUACAGAAGGCAGCUAGCGGGUGACCGUAUGCUAAUCCCAAAAUCCUCUCUCAGUUCGGAUCGAAGUCUGCAACCCGACUUCGUGAAGCUGGAUUCGCUAGUAAUCGCGCAUCAGCCACGGCGCGGUGAAUACGUUCCCGGGCCUUGUACACACCGCCCGUCAAGCCAUGGGAGCCGGGGGUACCUGAAGUACGUAACCGCAAGGAUCGUCCUAGGGUAAAACUGGUGACUGGGGC
rnacentral:rRNA from 1 species